GAUACCCGUAGAUCACCGCCGGAUCGAGGGUCGGCUCUGUAACCAAGCGCACGGUUUGGGUCGCUGUGUCGUACAAACCGCCAAAGUACAUCGCUUUCGCUACGAGCAAGAAAGCACCCAGUCCCAGCAACAGUAAGUGAUGGCCCAAAAUUAAACCCAAUUGCUUCGGGUCUUCCCA
rnacentral:antisense_RNA from 12 species